rnacentral:ncRNA from 2 species
AAAACGACAAGCGAUGGAGUUCGCUUUAAAUGCUUCUGGCUGAUGACUCCUACAAACGG